rnacentral:rRNA from 1 species
CUAGCCGUAAACGAUGGAUACUAGGCGUUGUGAGUAUCGACCCUCACAGUGUCGUAGCUAACGCGUUAAGUAUCCCGCCUGGGGAGUACGCGCGCAAGCGUGAAACUCAAAGGAAUUGACGGAGGCCCGCACAAGCGGUGGAGUAUGUGGUUUAAUUCGAUGCAACGCGAAGAACCUUACCAGGACUUGACAUGUCGCGAAUCUCAGGGAAACUUGAGAGUGCCUUCGGGAGCGCGAACACAGGUGGUGC